GGGAUCGUAGCUCAGGUGGUUAGAGCGCGUGCCUGAUAAGCACGAGGUCGGAAGUUCGAGUCUUCCCGGUCCCACCA
rnacentral:tRNA from 1 species